GGUGGUUGCUGUGGGGAUAAGGAAGAGGCAGUGCCUAGAGGAGCUGCCUACAGGAAACAUCAAGGAGGAUCAAGAGAGAGAGAGAAAGGGGCUGACAAGGAGAGCCGCAUCCUGAAAAGACUCUGGCACAUCUGUGAAAUCAGCCAGCCUGAGAAAAACAAUACCCGGAUCUCUGGGAGAUAAUAGGGGACAGCUCUGCACACCAUGAGACAGGCUCUGCUCACACUGGUUUUGCAUCUGCUCUUUCCCUGACAACAGCUAUGGGGUUAAAUUUAUCCUGAUGAAAUGACAGCCUUUUCAUACUGGCAGCCAACCCACAUGUGAAGGAAAAGUAUGGCACUGUGGACAACUUAGUCUUCAACAUGAGUAAUGGAAGGAGAGCCUUACCUGAGCUCUUGAUGGGGAACAGGUGAAAUAACAAAAUUACUUGAAUGACUUGAGAUUUCAUGCAGAAAUCCUUCCAAUCAGGGAUUUCAUAGCAUUUCACCAAUGACAAAUUGUAUCCACUAAUACUGCCACCAGGUCAGUAAAUUGUUACAAAACACCUUUUACCAAAACAACAGGAAGAGAUUUGUUCACACACAGAAUGAAAUUGGUUCUUUGGUGACAGAACAUCUUGUCAAUGCACCACUUAAAUAUAAGCCUUGUGAUGAAAGCAUUUAAGAUCUAAAUUAAAGACUAAAAGGUAAAUUUUACUUACUUUUC